CGUGUAGGCGGUUUGGUAAGUCAGAUGUGAAAGCCCUGGGCUCAACCCAGGAAGGGCAUUUGAUACUGCCUAACUUGAGUAUGGGAGAGGAGAGUGGAAUUCCCAGUGUAGAGGUGAAAUUCGUAGAUAUUGGGAGGAACACCCGUGGCGAAGGCGACUCUCUGGACCAAUACUGACGCUGAGACGCGAAAGCGUGGGGAGCAAACAGGAUUAGAUACCCUGGUAGUCC
rnacentral:rRNA from 1 species